rnacentral:rRNA from 1 species
UACAGAGGUCCCAAGCGUUGUUCGGAUUCAUUGGGCGUAAAGGGUGCGUAGGCGGCGCGGUAAGUCGGGUGUGAAAUCUCGGGGCUUAACUCCGAAACUGCAUUCGAUACUGCCGUGCUUGAGGACUGGAGAGGAGACUGGAAUUUACGGUGUAGCAGUGAAAUGCGUAGAGAUCAUGAGGAAGACCAGUGGCGAAGGCGGGUCUCUGGACAGUUCCUGACACUGAGACACGAAGGCCAGGGGAGCAAACGGG